GUGAGUUUUUCUUGAAAGGGGUUUUUCUUUAACUGCUGUCAUCCCCAGAAAAAGAAAGGCAAGUUUCUAUUUUGUGUUGUUGUAAUUUUCAAUUUUCUUGAAAUACCCAAUUGGGGUUUCUAAAUUGGGUUACUUUUAUUUAGUAUUGGAUCUUUUUGUCUGACUAAUCUUGGUAUUGAUAAAGUUUUUGUCUUUUUAAGGUUUGAUGUGUAAAAGUUUGAGUUUUG
rnacentral:misc_RNA from 1 species